UGCCAGCCGCCGCGGUAAUACGGAGGGGGUUAGCGUUGUUCGGAAUUACUGGGCGUAAAGCGCACGUAGGCGGACUGUUAAGUUAGAGGUGAAAUCCCGGGGCUCAACCCCGGAACUGCCUUUAAUACUGGCAGUCUAGAGUUCGAGAGAGGUGAGUGGAAUUCCGAGUGUAGAGGUGAAAUUCGUAGAUAUUCGGAGGAACACCAGAGGCGAAGGCGGCUUUCUGGCUCGGAUCUGACGCUGAGGCGCGAAAGCGUGGGUAGCAAACAGGAUUAGAUA
rnacentral:rRNA from 1 species